rnacentral:lncRNA from 1 species
AUUUUGUCAAAUGUAAUGUGUAGCAUUAAAGGGAAGCACAAGGAAGAAGACUGGUAAUGCUGAGAUUUCAACAAUAAUUCCCAAAACAGCAUACAACACACACACUCAGUCUGCACAAGUUCCACUCUUCACAACAAAGAGAGAAGAGCGGAUGGCCUUCUUUUAGAUUCCAUGAACUACCAGGCUGGAGGCUUUUGUGGAUCCCUCAGGUCUGUAUUGCGACUGCUGGAGGGCUGCUGAGAAUUGUGGGGAGGAAGGAAGUGUAACAUCAUACAGAACAACAGAAAGGUGUGAGAUGAUGUUCAUCUUGCUGCUUAGCCUUUAGAA